AGUCUCACGAUUGCUCCCAACAAGCCUUCAUGGACUACUGGUUCUUCUUCAUCAAACAACUUCUCAUAGAAGACUAUACCGGACUCAGACCACGGACCUCCCGUCAAUAGGUACAUCAUCUGGCACAAGUUCAACACCACACAGUACAUGUUUUCAAUUUGGUUUAUUCAUGUUGGAUCGAAACAUUAAUUUGAAAUUUGGAUAGAGUCAAAAGUUGGGGACUCAACAUUGAUGAUACAUGUCUCCUAUGCUGCUAAGCUACAUAAUCACGAGAUAAUUCUUGCCUACUUCUCUGGCCUGCACUUGGGGUCUACACCACUCGAUUGGUUCUCUGAUACUCACGUACUUUCAUAUUCUGCAAGAGCCAGAUGCAAGGAAGCGCACUCUUCGAUUCUCAUCGUGUAACAAGCCUCCAUUUAUGAGAACUGGGACGAGAAAAAUCGUUUGUAGCCACCAUUCCACCAGCAUGCCACCAACACA